AGGACGAACGCUGGCGGCGUGCUUAACACAUGCAAGUGGAGCGACGAACCAGGGCUUGCCCUGGGGCAGAGCCGCGAACGGGUGAGUAACACGUGGGUUACCUGCCUCGAUGACCGGGACAACCCGAGGAAACUCGGGCUAAUACCGGAUGUGCCCGCAAGGGGAAAGGAAGCUUCGGCCUCCGCAUCGAGAUGGGCCCGCGGCCCAUUAGCUUGUUGGUGAGGUAACGGCUCACCAAGGCUUCGAUGGGUAGCUGGUCUGAGAGGACGAUCAGCCACACUGGGACUGAGACACGGCCCAGACUCCUACGGGAGGCAGCAGUGGGGAAUCUUGCGCAAUGCGCGAAAGCGUGACGCAGCAACGCCGCGUGGGGGAAGAAGGCUUUCGGGUUGUAAACCCCUUUCAGUUGGGACGAAGCUUCGCCGGUGAAUAGCCGGCUGGAGUGACGGUACCUUCACAAGAAGCACCGGCUAACUACGCGCCAGCAGCCGC
rnacentral:rRNA from 1 species